rnacentral:lncRNA from 1 species
UAGGUUGACUUGGUGACCACUUGGUCGGCUCAGUAGAUCUGAUCUAAAAUUUUAUGUUUCUAUCUUGUCUAUCUUCUGAGACUAGGUCGACUCACUGAUUCUCUAGGUUGACUCACUAUUUAUCUGGAUCAACUCAAUUUGAACUGGGUCGGAUCACUGAACAUGCUUGAAAUUUCAGUAUUUCUAUCUUUUGCUGUCCUUUGAGAUUGGAUCGACUAACUUUCUAAUCGAGUCAAUUAAGAUCCUAUCUUGAUCAACUAACCUAAGUUUUGGAUCGACUAAAUCUUUUAUUUUUUAAAACAUGACUUUCUAUCACC